rnacentral:lncRNA from 1 species
AAGCCACAUUGGCAAAUUUCAAUUUACAUUACACAUUGAUAUAAUUGUCAUUUACAUAUAAAGAACUUAAAUGCAUACAAGCUCAAUUAUAACAGUUUAGUACUUAAAUAACCUUGAUCAAACUAACUCCUAACAGUCAAAAAAUGUACUGCACAAAUUCUUAAAUUAACUAUACAAACAAAUAUAAUCCAAAAAGGAAAUGGAGACUAUAUUUUGUGCUUACAUAAGGUGGGAUUGGCACUUGGAACAUUUAUACCCAGCCAGCGAGCUCGCCCUUCAGAAACUGAAUCCUUAAUGCUCAGAAUUAUACACAUAGCAUGCUUUGCAAAGUAGUUCUUGUCUUGCAACUAGGCUUACCAAUGUGGUUCCUAUUAAAUCAAUAUUUAUUGGAGCCCGAUUAUCACCAUUUUCAUUGGUUGGCUGCAAAGAACAGAAACAAAAAAUUCAAAUCAAAGGUAAAGCUAAACAAAUUAGCUUUUAAAGUAAAGAAAAAAACGCAGAGCCUCAAAAAAUCCAAGUAUCACCAUUUUCACUCAUUAGCUCAAUCUCGAUUUUAUAUUUACGGCACUCUAUUUAAGACAUAAAACCAGAAAACUUCUUCAUUUGUUUGGGGUUUGACCACACUCACAAGGGUAGGGAGAAAAUUGGGUUGCCGUUAAGCUAAAUAAUAAUGACAAUAAAAUAAAUAAAAAAUAAAAAAGAAGUGUAGCACUACAUACUUCUUUCCCGUCAAAAUACAGCCACUGGAAUACAACCCAAUUUAGCAUUUUGAAUAAAACCAUGCAAGUCUUAGGAUCAAUAGCCUGAAGAACAAAACAAUGGAUUAAAUAAAAAAAAUACCAUUAGCGCCAUAAAUUAUAAUCUGCUGCAAGAUUUAAAUUAUAAUCUAUUAAAUUAAAGUAUUAAUUAGAACUCAAACAAAUUUAUUUAAGGAAAAAAAACUAGAGUUGUUCAUACGGCAGCCAGGAAAAUUUAGAGAAUUUAAUUGAAAAAGAUAUUAAUGCUUUAUAAGUAAGAAGAUUUCGAAAUUAAUUAAGCCACGCAUGAACAAAAAUCUAAUCAAAUAGUCAAAGAAGAGAUUAUGUGAUAAUUGGCCAAACCCAUGUAACUUUGAAGUUGAUUAAAUAGUAUAAAAAUUCACCCAAAAUGAAUUUAACACAUACAUGAUAAUUAGGCAAAUAUCUGACACCUGUAAAUUUAUACAUGAAUUUGAAUAGAUUAAACAAAAAUAAGAGAAGAAAUCAGCCAUUACAGUUUAGAAUUUGCUAGGUAGUAUCAACUUUAAUACCCAAAAACAGAUUAUGGAACGAACAUACAAAUUUUUUUUUUCAAAUAAGAAUCGGAACUUGAAACAAGCAUGGCAAAAGAGACUAAUUUCAAUGACAUAAUACCUAAAUAAACAGAAUUUUAAUCAUGCGUGCAAGUUAAUUUAGAAAUGACUUAACAACAUCAACAUGCAUGCCAAUUUAAACAAGAAUUUUGAAGAAAAAUAAAGAAUAAAAUGAACUGAGAAAGAAGGCUUACAAAUUCAAAAAGCCAGAUAUUUAAUAUUUUGCUCUGAAAUUGAAUUCUCUCUCUUUAAAUCCAAAUCCUUCACCUAGCCUCUCUUGUCUUUCUCUUCUUUCUCCCUCUUCUCCUCUCUCACGUCCUGUUAUCCUCUUGUUUCCUUUCUUCCUUUUUCUGUUUUGUUCCUUUUGAAUCCGAACACUGGUUUUUGUUUCGUAAAUAAAUAAAGAAAUGCUAAAAUAUAAAGAGGUUCAUGGGCUGGACUUGUAACAAAAAUUUUACUAACAAUAUAAUAAGCAUAAGACAAUUAAAUCAUUAAUAAUUUAAAUUUUAUUUUUUUAACAAAUAAGUAAACUCCACUUAGUAAAAAUCAGGGCGUUUCAGUCCUCUUUUCUGUCAAUGUGAUUUUCUAUCCCCUUACCCAUAAUUCACUCUUUUUCCAAAUUCAUUAACCAAGAAAAUCAAGAAACAAAAGGCCAAAGUGCACGACAUAUUUUAUAAUAUUAUGAAAGGAAAAGGAGAGACUAAGGUACAAGCUACACAACACAAAAUCACCAAAUCGAUUAUAAAUGAAGAGGAAAUAAAUCCGACGAGCAAAUAUUUCAAAGCAAAUUAAGAGGAAAGAAUUGCAAAAUUGGAGAAAGCAACUCACAGUGGUGAAACAAUAACCCUGAAUUCAAAAUUUUAGAAUAUCAUUGGCAACAAUCUCACCAACAUUUUCAAGAUAGCACCCAGAAAAUUUGAACUGACUUGACAGCGGAGGCAGUGUCACCACAAUAACCCUGCAUCUGACGGUGAACGAACACAGAGGCAAUGUCGGCAGAGAUGACAGCAGCUGUUUUGCGGAAGUGAAUCGGCUCAAGAAUGGCAGAGAUUGACAGCGGCGGCAGAAAAAGGAAGCAAAUCGGCUCAAGGACAGCUAGACUCAGCGCUGGAGCACUUGAAUCGAUUUGACAGCGGCAGCGGCAUUGACGUUUGAUAGCUUAGGUAGGGUUAGGGCUGGUGUGUGUGACUGAGUGAGUCGUUGUGAUUGUAAUUCGUGAAAAUUGAAGAAGAAGAUAAGGAAUGUGAGUGGUUAGGGAUUGCGCGUUACCUUUAUUCCUUUUAUCGGCUUUUUUUUUUAAAUUUUUUAAGGCAAAUAACAUAUAACGACGGUUAUUAUAAAACGGUCAUGAA